CUGCUCAGGUCCAGGUAGAGGUUUGACUCACUGUGUUCAGGUCCAGGUAGAGGUUUGACUCACUGUGUUCAGGUCCAGGUAGAGGUUUGACUCAGUCAGCU